GACGAACGCUGGCGGCGUGCUUAACACAUGCAAGUCGAACGGGAGUAUUGAAGAAGCUUGCUUUAGAGAUACUUUAGUGGCGGACGGGUGAGUAACGCGUGAGGAGCUGUCCUAUGCAGGGGGACAACAGCUGGAAACGGCUGCUAAUACCCCAUAAGCCGAGAGGUAAAAGGAUCAAUCCGGCAGAGGAGGUACUCGCGUCCUAUCAGCUAGUAGGUGAGGUAACGGCUCACCUAGGCGAAGACGGGUAGCCGGCCUGAGAGGGCGAACGGCCACACUGGAACUGAGAAACGGUCCAAACUCCUACGGGAGGCAGCAGUGAGGAAUAUUGGUCAAUGGGCGAGAGCCUGAACCAGCCAAAGUCGCGUGAAGGAAGAAGGUCUUAUGGAUUGUAAACUUCUUUAGCAGGGGAAUAAAGGUUAUUACGAGCUAAUAAUUUGCAGGUACUCUGCGAAAAAAGGUCGGCUAACUCCGUG
rnacentral:rRNA from 1 species